CUAUUGAAGAUCCACUUAUACUCUAUGAAUUUUACCCCUUCGAGUGGAUCAACGAGUGUCCAUACACCAUUGACCUUUAUGGACUCAAUUUCGGAUUUUAUGGCUCCAAGCCACUAAUCGGAGUCAGAUCUCUACAUGACAUCCAUGUAGGUGAUCAGAUCCUUCUUGUUCUCAUCGAGUUCAAUAGAAUCACAUCCCAAACUUAGACAUCGAAGUAUCCAUCCGGUGGACGUGGUAUUCUACCGGAUCUCCUUAAUAGUGCCUCUUCAAUGGAUUCCAGAUAUGAUCUAAUCAAAUUCAGUUCUAUGGAUUCACUAGAUUGUGUCGAUUCUUCUAUCUGUCGAACUUCACAAGUUUCACAUUAAAGGCAUCAGUUCCUUCACCAAGAUACUAUUUUUCUAAAAAGAAUGCUGAACAACUUUUAUUUUUUAGCAUGAUAGAAGUUAUACCCCUUAGAUUCUUUAGAGUUAUCUUUCAAAAUAAUACAUAUAGGAUCAGGAUCCAAGCUAAUCUAUCUGCAAUUGCUUGACAUAAACC
rnacentral:lncRNA from 1 species